rnacentral:rRNA from 1 species
AGGAUCAUUAACGAGUCUUGAAACCGAAACGGUCUGCAGCUGGUGCGGGAACGCGCAUGUGCUCGGCCUUUCGUGUUCAAAUCCACUCAACCCCUGUGCACCUUUGCGAAGCAAACAGUAGUAGUCGUCGUCUUUUCUUUUCUUUCUGGUCGUGUGUUUUGAACCGCGGUCAAAAGUGAAAGGGGGGGAGAGGGCGGCGGUGAAUGAAUGCUUCGAGUUUUUCAUUACAAACUACUUGUAUGUCCUGUGGAAUGUAAUAUGCUCCCUCGUGGGCAAAAUUGUAAUACAACUUUCAACAACGGAUCUCUUGGCUCUCGCAUCGAUGAAGAACGCAGCGAAAUGCGAUAAGUAAUGUGAAUUGCAGAAUUCAGUGAAUCAUCGAAUCUUUGAACGCACCUUGCGCCCCUUGGUAUUCCGAGGGGCAUGCCUGUUUGAGUGUCAUGUUAAUCUCAAACCCUCAGUCUUUUGUUGACUCGAAGGACUGGGUCGGUUUGGACUUGGAGGUUUAACUGCUGGCUUUAGCAAUUAGAGUCGGCUCCUCUUAAAUUCAUUAGCUGGACUUUGGUUCGCAUUUGCGGUGUAAUAGUAACCAACUUGUUCGCCCGGGUGCUUGCCUAAAGAGUCUGCUUCUAAUCGCGCCUCCCAGUUGGGGCAAGUACUAUAUGACCCUUUGACCUCAAAUCAGGUAGGACUAUCCGCUGAACUUAA